UGCGAAGAUUUGGAAUUCGUAAACUUCAUCAAAGUUUUAAGGUUAGAAUGUUUGCCCGUUUUCUGAAAAAUAUGGUACACGGGGAACCGGGCAUCGUUUGACAAUUUGAUAUCGGUGUGGGCCCACGAGACAGCCCAACUAAACGUGAACACGAACAUAAACCUUAGCGGGCAGAGGUUCUCCACUACUCACCGCUCGUCCAAAGCAACCCUCAGAACGAGACAGGAAAUUAUAGAACUCAGUCUACUCUGAAAAAGAUUUCUGAACGUACCCCAAGGAGUUUGGUUUUCCGAGUUCUUCCGUCUAGUAUGACUGACGUGAUUAUUUCUCAUUAGAUACGACGAUUGUUAGCGGCACUUGCAGAAAGUUGGGAAACAAAUCCUAAAACGGUAUCGGUGAGACAGAGAUAAGUAGGGAGAUUUGAACUGGCACCACCUAAAAUUACAUUCUCAAGCAACUUCAAAUAACAAUUAAAAUUUGAUCUUCUCUUGGCCAGAUUGCAAACUUUUACAAUAUGGUUGAUUCUGGAAAACACCUAUGACAGGUGCGUUCGACGGUGAGCCGAGCUCGCUGAGAAAAUAGUUUCUCCGUUUUUGAAUGCUGGACACUUAUUCGGAUGCAUGAAGAUAAAAAUAUUCGUAAAGAAGCCCGGUAGUGACAAUUGAUUUCCUGGCACUUGGUCUUCUAUGAGGGCAUAAAGCCAAAAAGAAAUAAGAAGUAGGAAGAGAUAAGAAUAACAAAUAUUAGUUGCACAGUAAUAUUGA